GUCCUGUCUGUGAUGUCUCUUUCUCCGUUCUCACGUCCGAAAUGACUGAACAAACGUGUACGAACCUUCUGAUUUCUUGCGUGGUGCACCGUACGUGAUCGCGGACGCGUCGCGUCUGACGAGGGUCAGACGAGUUUCCGUCGGCUAUGCGGCAGAUCUGCCCCCUCUGGUUUUUCCAUGCGCUUUACGUCCACUCACCGUUCACCACCGUACCCCACCAGUACUGGAACCAAUUUUUCUUAUCAAGACUACAAAUUGUAGUUCGGCAAGUAGUGAAGACCACUUAUAAUCAUACACAGCCUGCAGUAGUAUAUAGACAAUAUAAUCAGACAUUGAAG
rnacentral:misc_RNA from 1 species